UAGCUUGCUACUUUGCUGACGAGCGGCGGACGGGUGNNUAAUGCUUGGGAACAUGCCUUGAGGUGGGGGACAACAGUUGGAAACGACUGCUAAUACCGCAUAAUGUCUACGGACCAAAGGGGGCUUCGGCUCUCGCCUUUAGAUUGGCCCAAGUGGGAUUAGCUAGUUGGUGAGGUAAUGGCUCACCAAGGCGACGAUCCCUAGCUGGUUUGAGAGGAUGAUCAGCCACACUGGGACUGAGACACGGCCCSSACUCCUACGGGAGGCAGCAGUGGGGAAUMUUGCACAAUGGGCGCAAGCUGAUGCAGCCAUGCCGCGUGUGUSAAGAAGGCCUUCGGGUUGUAAAGCACUUUCAGUCAGGAGGAAAGGUUAGYGGUUAAUACCCGUUAGCUGUGACGUUACUGACAGAAGAAGCACCGGCUAACUCCGUGCCAGCAGCCGCGGUAAUACGGAGGGUGCGAGCGUUAAUCGGAAUUACUGGGCGUAAAGCGUACGCAGGCGGUUUGUUAAGCGAGAUGUGAAAGCCCCGGGCUCAACCUGGGAACUGCAUUUCGAACUGGCAAACUAGAGUGUGAUAGAGGGUGGUAGAAUUUCAGGUGUAGCGGUGAAAUGCGUAGAGAUCUGAAGGAAUACCGAUGGCGAAGGCAGCCACCUGGGUCAACACUGACGCUCAUGUACGAAAGCGUGGGGAGCAAACGGGAUUAGAUACCCCGGUAGUCCACGCCGUAAACGAUGUCUACUAGAAGCUCGGAGCCUCGGUUCUGUUUUUCAAAGCUAACGCAUUAAGUAGACCGCCUGGGGAGUACGGCCGCAAGGUUAAAACUCAAAUGAAUU
rnacentral:rRNA from 1 species